CAUCUCUACUUUCUAUUUCUUUCAUUUUGUGACGCGGCAGAUCCUUGGACCGGAAAAUUUUGGCUCUUGUUCGAUUCUUCCUUACUAUUUUACCAAAAAAUCUUAUUGAAAGGAUGACGUACCGGUAUGGAAAGAAUCGACUUUCGGCAAGAUACUUUCUAUAACAGUUGAGCCGAAACGUCCCAGCUUUGAAGAGAAUCGCAAACUCAUUUUGUUUCCCGAAAUCAUUGGCAAUGUGGUUUGGUUUCGGUUUAUGCAAUGGAGUGCAGAAAGAUGUCUGCAAGAGGCAGAUGGUUUGACGUGAAAUUUUGUAAUCAUUUUAAUGUAUAACUAAAACUCAAAGCAAAAUGAUGUCUUUUUGUUAAAUAAAUGUUAUGAAUGAAGAUAUUG